UGUGCGUCUCCGAGGCCCUCUGGGUCUCUUGGCCUCGUGCUGUCUUCACAGCCUGCUGCCAACGACCGCCCUGUAAUCAGGGAUCUGGUCUUUGCCCUCUAGUCUCUUGGCACUUGGCCAAAUGCAGCCACUGCCCUGAAUGAGCACCCUGUAAACAGGGUACAGGUCUCAUCUGCUACUAUUUAUGGCACCCCCAUGACACUGUGUCCAGAGUUCCGGCCCUUCAAACAGCGCUUCCAACUUGCCUGGAAUUCUGCAGCCAAGUCUCCUGCUUUCUACUCACUUUUUGGACUCUUGGAGAUCUGACAUGCUACUGGUGACAUCAUGAAGCACAAGUGGAGAAGAAGGAAGUGUCAGGAAUGCCACACACAGAGGAGAAAAGAAGAUGGAGGAAAAGGAAAGGAACUCUGGGCACAGUAACCAACCUCAAAUCAGGCCUCAGGUCAUGUAAUUAGACUGUAGGGGAAUCUCGAGCCUCUUAAUACCUUGAGCAGCGUGACCGCCCUGUAAGCUGGGUCCCGGUCUGUGCUAUUGUGUCGUUUUGACAUUCUGCUCCGAUAUCUGGCUAUUGAGGGUGACUGCCCUGUAAUCAGGGUGUAAGUCACUUCCCUCUGUCUUUGGAGGGGCAUUGAGCUUUUUGUUAAACUGAGCAAUGUGACCGCCCUGUAUCUGGGGUCCGGGUCUCUGCCCUCUUGCUCAUUUGGCUUUACGCCGUGCUCUGCCCCAUUAGUCAGCGUGACAACCCUGUAAUUAGGGUCUAUGUCACAAGCCUCUCUAGGAUGGGACAUAUUGAGCUCUUUGGUACUUUGACAGCUUGACCUUCCUGUAAUUCAGGUUAUGGUCUCCCCUAUUUGGCUAAUGCCAGCGACCACCCUGUAGUCAGGGUACAGGUUGCACCUCGCUUUUGAAAUCUGGGGGAUUAGAAUCAUGACCAUAACAUGGGCAGCUUGACCUCCCUGUAACUAGGGUUUGCGUCUCCGAGGCCCUUUGGGUCUCCGUUAUAGAGUUGGUGAAUGUGACUGCCCUGUAAUCAGGGUGCAAGUCACCUCCCCCUGUCUUUGGAGGGGCAUUGAGCUCUUUGUUCAACUGAGCAAUGUGACCGCCCUGUAACUGGGGUCUGGGUCUCUGCCCUCUUGCUCAUUUGGCUUUACGCCGUGCUCUGCCCCAUUAGUCAGUGUGACAACCCUGUAAUUAGGGUCCAUGUCACAAGCCUCUCUACCAUGGGACAUAUUGAGCUCUUUGGUACUUUGACAGCUUGACCUUCCUGUAAUUCAGGUUAUGGUCUCUCCUCUUUGGCUAAUGCCAGCGACCACCCUGUAAUCAGGGUACAGGUUGCAUCUCGCUUUUGAAAUCUGGGGGAUUAGAAUCAUGACCAUAACAUGGGCAGCUUGACCUCCCUGUAACUAGGGUGUGCGUCUCCGAGGCCCUCUGGGUCUCUUGGCCUCGUGCUGUCUUCACAGCCUGCUGCCAACGACCGCCCUGUAAUCAGGGAUCUGGUCUUUGCCCUCUAGUCUCUUGGCACUUGGCCAAAUGCAGCCACUGCCCUGAAUGAGCACCCUGUAAACAGGGUACAGGUCUCAUCUGCUACUAUUUAUGGCACCCCCAUGACACUGUGUCCAGAGUUCCGGCCCUUCAAACAGCGCUUCCAACUUGCCUGGAAUUCUGCAGCCAAGUCUCCUGCUUUCUACUCACUUUUUGGACUCUUGGAGAUCUGACAUGCUACUGGUGACAUCAUGAAGCACAAGUGGAGAAGAAGGAAGUGUCAGGAAUGCCACACACAGAGGAGAAAAGAAGAUGGAGGAAAAGGAAAGGA